rnacentral:rRNA from 1 species
UACGUAGGGUGCGAGCGUUAAUCGGAAUUACUGGGCGUAAAGCGUGCGUAGGCGGGUCGUUAAGUCAGCUGUGAAAGCCCCGGGCUCAACCUGGGAACUGCGGUUGAAACUGGCGAACUAGAAUCUGGCAGAGGGGGGUGGAAUUCCGCGUGUAGCAGUGAAAUGCGUAGAGAUGUGGAGGAACACCGAUGGCGAAGGCAGCCCCCUGGGCUGAGAUUGACGCUCAGGCACGAAAGCGUGGGGAGCAAACAGG